UACGGAGGGGGCUAGCGUUGUCCGAAGUUACUGGGCGUAAAGCGCGCGUAGGCGGGUUGGUAAGUCCGCUGUGAAAGCCCGGAGCUUAACUCCGGAGGGUCGGUGGAUACUGCCAGUCUUGAAGGUGCUAGGGGGAGAUGGAAUUACCGGUGUAGCGGUGAAAUGCGUAGAUAUCGGUAGGAACACCAGUGGCGAAGGCGGUCUCCUGGGGCAUUCUUGACGCUGAGGAGCGAAAGCGUGGGGAGCGAACAGG
rnacentral:rRNA from 1 species